AGCCAUGUUUAGCAAGGGCUGUGGGCCUGCCAUAGCCAUGGGAUCUCCAACUGGCCAUGCCCAGAGUAACGAGAGACUUGACAGCCCAGGUAUCACAGUGCCUGCUGUGCCAGCUCAGCUCAUCUCCUUAA
rnacentral:snoRNA from 14 species